rnacentral:rRNA from 1 species
AUUAGCUAGUUGGUGGGGUAAAGGCCUACCAAGGCGAUGAUAGGUAGCCGGCCCGAGAGGGUGAACGGCCACAAGGGGACUGAGAUACGGCCCUUACUCCUACGGGAGGCAGCAGUGGGGAAUAUUGGACAAUGGAGGGAACUCUGAUCCAGCAAUUCUGUGUGCACGAAGAAGGUUUUCGGAUUGUAAAGUGCUUUCAGUAGGGAAGAAGAAAGUGACGGUACCUACAGAAGAAGCGACGGCUAAAUACGUGCCAGCAGCCGCGGUAAUACGUAUGUCGCAAGCGUUAUCCGGAAUUAUUGGGCUUAAAGGGCAUCUAGGCGGUUUUUCAAGUCAGGGGUGAAAACUUAUGGCUCAACUAUAAGCUUGCCUUUGAAACUGAAAGACUAGAGUACUGGAAAGGUGGGUGGAACUACACGAGUAGAGGUGAAAUUCGUAGAUAUGUGUAGGAAUGCCGAUGAUGAAGAUAACUCACUGGACAGAAACUGACGCUGAAGUGCGAAAGCUAGGGGAGCAAACAGGAUUAGAUACCCUGGUAGUCCUAGCUGUAAACGAUGAUCACUGGGUGUGGGGAUGAAUAGUCUCUGUGCCGAAGCAAAAGCGAUAAGUGAUCCGCCUGGGGAGUACGUACGCAAGUAUGAAACUCAAAGGAAUUGACGGGGACCCGCACAAGUGGUGGAGCAUGUGGUUUAAUUCGACGCAACGCGAGGAACCUUACCAGGUCUUGACAUACUCGGAAUCUUUUGGAAGCAAAGGAGUGCCUUCGGGAACCGAGAUACAGGUGGUGCAUGGCUGUCGACAGCUCGUGUCGUGAGAUGUUGGGUUAAGUCCCGCAACGAGCGAAACCCCUAUCAUUAGUUGCCAUCAUUAAGUUGGGGACUCUAAUGAAACUGCCUGCGAAGAGCAGGAGGAAGGUGGGGAUGACGUCAAGUCAUCA